GCCUCGGUAGCUCAGCCUGGUAGAGCAACGGUCUCGUAAACCGUAGGUCGCGGGUUCAAAGCCCGCCCGGGGCU
rnacentral:tRNA from 1 species